rnacentral:rRNA from 1 species
UACGUAGGGUGCAAGCGUUAAUCGGAAUUACUGGGCGUAAAGCGUGCGCAGGCGGUUUGUUAAGACGGAUGUGAAAUCCCCGGGCUCAACCUGGGAACUGCAUUCGUGACUGGCAAGCUAGAGUAUGGCAGAGGGGGGUGGAAUUCCACGUGUAGCAGUGAAAUGCGUAGAGAUGUGGAGGAACACCGAUGGCGAAGGCAGCCCCCUGGGCCAAUACUGACGCUCAUGCACGAAAGCGUGGGGAGCAAACAGG